GGAUUUCCCCCAUGGAGGCUCCCAAAUUUAAAUUUUUAAAGAGCAAUUGUGUCCACAAUUUUAACAAAACAAUUAAUUUUACAAUGAAUUGAGGCAUAUAAAAGUAUGAAGAAGCCAAAAAACAACAUGACACUGAAUUUGAAAGCCCCCUUGAAGGUUUUUUAGGAGUAUGGCAGCCAUCUUGCACGCAAAACCCCCAUGGG
rnacentral:lncRNA from 1 species